rnacentral:miRNA from 1 species
GUGUGUGUGUGUAUGUAUGUGUAUAUAUACAUGUAUAUGUAUAUAUACAUGUAUAUGUAUAUAUAUACACACACACACACACACACAUAU